rnacentral:rRNA from 1 species
UGGAAGUCGAACGGAGAAUUUAUUUCGGUAAAUUCUUAGUGGCGAACGGGUGAGUAACGCGUAGGCAACCUGCCCUUUGGAUGGGGACAACAUUCCGAAAGGAGUGCUAAUACCGAAUGUGAUCCAUUUCUCGCAUGAGAGAUGGAUGAAAGAUGGCCUCUAUUUAUAAGCUAUCGCCAAAGGAUGGGCCUGCGUCUGAUUAGUUAGUUGGUGGGGUAACGGCUCACCAAGACGAUGAUCAGUAGCCGGUCUGAGAGGAUGAACGGCCACAUUGGGACUGAGACACGGCCCAAACUCCUACGGGAGGCAGCAGUGGGGAAUCUUCCGCAAUGGACGAAAGUCUGACGGAGCAACGCCGCGUGAGUGAUGAAGGUUUUCGGACUGUAAAACUCUGUUGUCAGGGACGAAGGUGCGAUCUGCGAAUAGUUGAUCGUAUUGACGGUACCUGACGAGGAAGCCACGGCUAACUACGUGCCAGCAGCCGCGGUAAUACGUAGGUGGCAAGCGUUGUCCGGAAUUAUUGGGCGUAAAGAGCAUGUAGGUGGGCUUUUAAGUCCGAUGUGAAAAUGCGGGGCUCAACCCCGUAUGGCAUUGGAUACUGGAAGUCUUGAGU